UGGAUUGCAUUUUUAGGAAUCGCGCCUAUAUUGAAGGUGCUGGAAACAGCUACGGCGAUAAAUCGCGAUCGUAAUAAACCAUUCGGACCCGGGGGCGGUACCCGGCGCCUCCACCAAAACAUCUGAUGCUCUGCUAAAGCACGGAUUUUGGGGGCGAAAUAGGAUCGACGAGGGUGUAAAGGGUUUGCUUUCGCUCGGCAUGGUACCACCGCAUCGGGCCAUUAUGAUAGUUGCAAAUGACAACUUCGCUGAGGCACGUUUGGCUGCGUAAUGCGGUUCGACACCUCGAAUUGAAGCCCUAUACUCCUAGCAGGGUAUAGGCGGGGUUCGCAGGUACCUGGCAACAGAAACCUGCACU
rnacentral:tmRNA from 1 species